rnacentral:rRNA from 1 species
CGUUGUCCGGAAUUAUUGGGCGUAAAGGGCUCGUAGGCGGUUUGUUGCGUCGGAAGUGAAAACUCAGGGCUUAACCCUGAGCCUGCUUCCGAUACGGGCAGACUAGAGGUAUGCAGGGGAGAACGGAAUUCCUGGUGUAGCGGUGAAAUGCGCAGAUAUCAGGAGGAACACCGGUGGCGAAGGCAGUUCUCUGGGCAUUACCUGACGCUGAGGCACGAAAGCGUGGGGAGCAAACAGG